rnacentral:rRNA from 1 species
AAUGGGGGCAACCCUGAUCCAGCCAUGCCGCGUGAGUGAUGAAGGCCUUAGGGUCGUAAAGCUCUUUCGCCUGUGAAGAUAAUGACGGUAGCAGGUAAAGAAACCCCGGCUAACUCCGUGCCAGCAGCCGCGGUAAUACGGAGGGGGUUAGCGUUGUUCGGAAUUACUGGGCGUAAAGCGCACGUAGGCGGAUUAGUCAGUCAGAGGUGAAAUCCCAGGGCUCAACCCUGGAACUGCCUCCAAAACUAUCAGUCUAGAGUUCGAGAGAGGUAAGUGGAAUUCCGAGUGUAGAGGUGAAAUUCGUAGAUAUUCGGAGGAACACCAGUGGCGAAGGCGGCUCACUGGCUCGAUACUGACGCUGAGGUGCGAAAGUGUGGGGAGCAAACAGGAUU